UCAUGCCCUACCUAACUUCUUUAUAAUCCACGUCAGGUUUAAAGAUGCUUGAUUAAACUAGAUGUUGGUGAAUUACUCAUGAGACUGUACUCAACAUCAUUUUAUAUGUUGAUAUAUCUCUACGCAAAAGAGGAGAAGGCGUGCAUACUUCAAAUUUUACUGGGACCAAUUAUGUCCAAUACUUGCUGUCAGGGCACCCUCAUACAAGAUAUUUGGCAGUGGAUGAACAAGUAGCCAUAUUUUUAAGUACCGUCACACACGAUCAACAGAAUAGGGUGGUCCAGGAACGGUUCCAACAUUCAGGGCAGACCAUAAGUUACUACUUCCAUAGAGUUUUACAAGCCAUCUUACAAUUGGAACCCUUGUUCCUAUAACCAACAAGCAAUAAAAUACCGGCCCACAUUGCUAGUGAUACACUACGAUUUACCCAUAUUUCAAGGUUGGGAAGGAUCCGCAUCAUAUUAUAAAGUCCUAUAUGACGCAAUUAGUAUUGAAGGCAGUAGGCUUAAAGUGCCUGAGGGCCCAUGAGCUCCACAGAAUCACAAGGAGUUAUUCAACGAGCAGCAUUCCACGCUUAAAAAUGUGGUGGAGAUGACAUUUGGACUUUGGAAGGCUAGAUUUCCUGUACUCAAGAAUCAAAUGCAGUAUCCGAACAAACACAGGUUGAUGUAGUUAUUGCAUGUGCAAUAUUGCACACUUACAUCGUAGUUAUUGCAUGUGCAAUAUUGCACACUUACAUCAUGAUGACUAGGGGAGUUGAUAGCAAAAGGGAGCUGCAUUUUCAAAAGAGGGUUGAGAGUCAACUCGUAAUUAACGGAGAUGAUGGUUUUCGUAAUUGACUCAAGGGCAUGUUGAUCUUGACGUUGGUGUCAAUCUGUGAGAUGUCAUAGCGACGCAGUUGUG